AACGAACGCUGGCGGCAUGCCUAACACAUGCAAGUCGAACGAGACCUUCGGGUCGAGUGGCGCACGGGUGAGUAACGCGUGGGAACCUGCCCUUAGGUUCGGAAUAACUCCCCGAAAGGGGGGCUAAUACCGGAUAAUGUCUUCGGACCAAAGAUUUGUCGCCUUUGGAUGGGCCCGCGUUGGAUUAGCUAGUUGGUAGGGUAAAAGCCUACCAAGGCGACGAUCCAUAGCUGGUCUGAGAGGAUGAUCAGCCACACUGGGACUGAGACACGGCCCAGACUCCUACGGGAGGCAGCAGUGGGGAAUAUUGGACAAUGGGCGAAAGCCUGAUCCAGCAAUGCCGCGUGAGUGAUGAAGGCCUUAGGGUUGUAAAGCUCUUUUACCCGGGAUGAUAAUGACAGUACCGGGAGAAUAAGCUCCGGCUAACUCCGUG
rnacentral:rRNA from 1 species